UCGGUCUCGCUGACUCAAAUUUUGUUGGGAACCCUCUUUCAUUCGAAGUCUGACGCCCUUGCGUGUAGGACGUGUGUGUGGUGUGCAUUCGGUGCGUGUUUCUCAAGUGUGCCCCCCUCGAUUCAGUCGUCCGCCGUCGUCGUCGUCGUCGUUGUCGAUCGGAUCCGUCGUUUAUAAUACGUGGUGUGGUGGUACGCCCCGGGUUUUUCGCAAUCCGCAUCCUCCGCCGUAGUGUUCUCGCGGGUGGUGGUCAGCACCAGCAGUCACGGUCCGCGACCACACAGAUUUUCUGUCGCUGUCCAUUCGAGUAAGUUUAGUCUGUCAGUUCGUGGUGGGCCUGAAUUAUUUGGCCAGUGUCGUGCAUCCGCGCUUCAAAAGUGGUUCCGGAAGGUUCAAAUAGGCGCAGUGUGUAAUGAAAAAAGUGUUGAAUCUAUAGGUGGUGCACGUCCUCUAGAUCUGUAGUGCUACAUUGUGCAAAUUGGAACAAAUUGUGGCCGCAGACACAAGUGGAACGAUAUACUCCGCCGGAAAUACUGUCCGGAACUGUAUCCGGAGAAACGAGUUCUGCAAAAAGUGGUUGCUGCCGAGUGUUACAGAUGGGAUUUCCGGUGUGAAUGGAUCGUUGGGUCUCGCUGGAAAAGAAGCCCGGUUCUUGAGAGGCGGCAGCACGGCCAUCUGCCCUCAGUAGUAAAGUGUGCGAGCUGGCAGGAAGAGCAAUCCGGAAACCGUGCCCGCCUGUGAAAAUCCCGGUGUGAGUGUGCGUACCUUCUUUUCCUACCGAAGCCUAGUACCAGGAAGCAAAGUAGAUUCGGCGGCAGAGGCCUGCAGCGAGGCGGCCAGGAUUCCGAAAAUAAGAAAAACCCAAAAUUCAAGUUGAGUGAUCAAAUUUGCUAGUGUCCCCCGGGAGACCCCACAGGAGCAUCCAAAAUGACGAAGGACAGAUUAGCAGCGUUACAAGCGGCACAGAGCGACGAUGAGGACAUGCCGGAAGAUGUGGCCGUGCCGGUGGAGGGCAGCUUUAUGGAGGAUUUUUUCAACGAGGUGGAAGAGAUCCGCAUCAUGAUCGACAAAAUCCAGGCGAACGUGGAAGAGGUGAAGAAAAAGCACAGUGCCAUCCUGUCGGCCCCACAGUCAGAUGAGAAAACCAAACAGGAACUCGAAGACCUAAUGGCCGAUAUCAAAAAAACUGCCAACAGAGUAAGAGGGAAGCUCAAGGGUAUCGAACAGAACAUUGAGCAGGAGGAGCAGACGAACAAGUCCAAUGCCGAUCUGAGGAUACGGAAGACACAGCACUCGGCACUGUCGCGCAAGUUCGUCGAGGUGAUGACCGAGUACAACCGGACCCAGACUGACUACCGAGAGCGGUGCAAAGGAAGAAUACAACGACAAUUGGAAAUUACGGGUAGAGCGACGACGAACGAAGAGCUCGAGGAGAUGUUGGAGCAGGGCAAUUCCGCCGUGUUCACGCAAGGGAUUAUCAUGGAAACCCAACAAGCUAAACAAACGCUCGCCGAUAUCGAAGCACGGCAUGCAGAUAUUAUAAAAUUGGAGAAUUCAAUUAGGGAGCUACACGAUAUGUUCAUGGACAUGGCGAUGCUCGUCGAGAGCCAGGGUGAAAUGAUUGAUCGUAUAGAAUAUCAUGUUGAACACGCAAUGGAUUAUGUCCAAACAGCGACACAAGACACAAAGAAAGCGCUUAAAUAUCAAAGCAAAGCCCGCCGGAAGAAGAUCAUUAUCCUGAUAUGUGUGAGCAUUCUUCUGAUAGUGGUUGCGUCAACAAUUACCGGAUAUUUCGGUUUUUAAGCAAACAAAACAGAACAACAAAUCAUCGAUCCUAACGUUAAAACAAAUAAUACACAAAAAAACACAAGAAGCAGAAAAACGAAUGUAAGAGUAAUGGUUAUUCGAGGUACACACGCCCACACACCGAUUGGAAAUUCCGCAAGCCCAGUCAAACGGUGAUAUAAACAAACUAAGACGGAUAUUAUGCAUUUAACUGGACGGGGUUGUCCGUGUGGGUCCCAAGCUUUCGAUUCAUUUAGAUUAAUUAGGAACUCCCGGACACCACCAUCAGAGAAGGAACCAUCUGUGUUUCGAUUUUUUCAACAAUAACAACAGCGGUUAUCGUCUUCGACCAGUUAGGGCAGUCGUAGGAGAAGCAGGAGCAGCAGUAGAUCACCUUCAACUCGGGAUUCGCGUUUCUUUGGACGGCGAAAAACGUGACUUAUUCAGCAAGCAAAUCAUUUUUCUGCGUCUCAGUGGCGGGUUAUCGCACCCUGUGACAUCGUCAACCCUCUGGAAUAGUGCUAAUAACCUGAAUUCUACAACAGAAAACCCUUGCUGCAAAACAAAGAUCAACCCAAUCAAUACCAGCGACUUAAUAUAUGCGAAGGAUGAAUCGAACAUUGAUUACCAGAUCGGUCGGAAAAGUGUGACACAAACACGAAAUGAAACAAUAACAGUUCAAAUGGAUUAGUGGUGUGGUGCACUCCAUUCAGUGAUCUCGUGACUCGUAAGCUUAUAAAAACAAAAAGAAAAGUGUGUGAAACAAGCUUCUAAACACACCCGCCUGAUGAUGAUUGCGAUUUCUUUUUUCGUCGUUUAAGUUUGUGUAGGAUAAUUUUAGGAAUAAGUUGUUCGCCGCCGAAACGCGAUCGUAAGUUUUGUUUUCGAUUCGUUGAUUUGAUCAUUAGAAACAAAAACACAUACCUACAUACCUAAGAAACAUGUAUCUAGUCAAGCUGGGUUUUGCCAACGAUGGACGACACGCUAUAAUCAUCAGUCGUUCUUGAUCGCUGCUAGUUCAAUCAAUACCGCACGCAGUAAGUGCAUUACAAAAACAUAGAUUUUAGUUCUAGUGUAAAUACUAUUGUAGGAGGAAGUUUGUCCAUCGUUUGUUACACAUUCGUUUCCGUUGAUGCUAUUUAUCUCAAUUCGAAGUAAAGUGGUAGGUAACGGGGAUGGUACAUUUCACAAAAAGACGUUUCUUUUGACAUAAUGGUCGUUUGUGAUAAUGCCGUUUGGCAUAACAUGAAGAAUGGAAAAUUUGAGGAGUAAUAUUAUAGUGUUGCCAAUCUAAAUUAUGCCAAAUGGAAUACUCACGUUAUUAUGGGCAACCGAAACGUCUUUGAGUGAAACGUCCCAACCCCUCUUACCCAGCUAGAGCCGUAGUAAGCCGAUUUCCGCAAGGUCGAUCAUUUUGGUACUCUUGUUCCAACUCAAACAACUUUUGCUUGCGAAAUCGAAGUGUUUUUUUUUUUAAGGAAACGCCUAUGAGAGCAGUUGAGCGAUUAGAUAAAAAAAAACUUUUUAAAUAGAAUCCAGGGAAUCCGCGGACAUUGUGUGUGGAAUGUCCCGAGAUUUAGAAACGCCUCCAUUAGAGCAAUAAUUCAGACAAAAAGUGAGGAGCACUUCCAAUCAGCGUGACGAGCAAAACCAUUCUCACACACAAGUAAAACAAAAAAGAAACUAGGGAAAGGGUUGUCCAAUGGGUUCGGUUGGGCGCCCAGCGCGAAUCUCUCUGGAGUCUCUGUACAUAGGGUAAUGUGUGAUGAUCCAAUCAGGCAGGGCGCCCAGCGGAACCCCGAGGAGGACACGUUUAAACAACAGUAACAACCAUGCAAGGACAUUAAAAUUGGCUUAAUAAAAACUCUAUAUAUGCAAGCAAGCAAGUGUGUGGCAAAGAUGAAAUCGGAAAUCCCGGGAGAUCAAGAAAGGGGCGCGGAGUGGCUGUUUUGACGCGCGAGCGUGUGCGUAGAAGCUUACAUGUGUGAUGCAUUCAGAACAAGCGCGAGAAGACACGAA